GUAAUUUUUACAUUGACGGACUUAAUGCCUAAGGCGCCCUAAGGCAUUUUCUAACAGUCAACCAAUUUAACAUUCUAUGUACAUUGAGGAAAAAUCCUUAAUCCUAGACUUAUAUAACGGAAUAAACAAAUUUAUUGAAUGUGUAUGACGGCGUUAACAAUAUUUCUAAUAAACAUCACGUGCAACAGGCGUGACUCACACAAGCCGGGUGCGCCGGCCGUGUCGUUCCACUCGUGCAACAGAAGUGACUCAUAAGCCAGCUGCGCCGGCUAGUAUAAAAAGGCGGUGCGUGCCUUGCGAGAAACAUUCGUUGGACUGCGCUUGCCUGGUGCACUUACUAUAUCCUUGUUACGUUGUGUGAUUCAGUGACUGUUGUACGUACUGGUUAAAGUUGGACAAGUGUUAAAGUGAAUUGUUAAGAUAACAUAUUGUUGAUUAAAUCAGGAAUCAAAAAGUGACAUCGUUUUACUUGGUGUUCAACAAGAUAAUAUCUACCCUCUAGCUUACAUCAGAAGUGGGAUCAGGACUCUACUCUCACUGGCGUGACGUGUUUGAACAUGUUCGAAGUACAGCAAAAAAAACAUGAUGCAGAUCAGAAUACUAGUAGUGGUACGCCACAAGAGCGUGAAUGCAGCAUACGUAAGUCGUGUAAUAACGUCUCUGUUACCUCGAUGGAAGAUCUGAGCCACGAAGAAAUCGUCACAUCUUACGUUCUGGCUCAUGUUGCCCAGUUGACUCUCGACUUAUCACAUGGCAUUUACUAGCGGAAAUACAACACGUAACAAGCUAUUGCAAGAAAUUAAGGCAAGUGCAAAUCUCAAGUGAAACUUCGAUCGCAAUAAUGGAUCUGUCAUGACGAGUGGGUAGUUCCGACACGAAUCGUUUUUAAGCCAAUGACUACUGCUAGAGUUACAUGGCACUAGUACAGUAAACCAGGACAUGAGACUGUGAAUUGUCGCUGAAAUUUUAGAAUCUACUCGAUUCAAUACCAAUAACACUACACGUUCGAUGACUUCGGGCUCCAGCAAGCAAGCAAACAAGAAAGCAAGCAAGUUUCCGUGGGGAAGAAAAAUUGACACAUCUGAAGUCGUCGUGACCUGUAAGAUAAGACGUCCGGUGCGUUCGUGUCUGGCGAUGCGGCGGUGUUCGGAUUCCGCUGGCGCAUGCAGGUUUUUCCGGUGAAGUGCGUGCUUGUGCGUGCUUGACAAGUGUUCGCGGUUGGCUUCCUCAGUGUGGGAGUAACAUCGUGUAAGAGAGGUGGAACCCGUAAAAUUGUAGUUUGCGUGGUGGCUGGUAAGAUUUGUUGCGGUAAGAAGUUUGCAUGGUGGUAAAAUGUCUUGUGAGUCUGCACAGGUAGCCGGAGGUGAGACUUCCGCGGUCGCGGCCCACCCAGUCCGCGAGAACCGGGCAGAUCGCCUCGACGGUACGGAGGCCGGCUGACGGGUCCGCCAAACGACGAGACCACGCCUCCAGCACGGACUGCCGAUAUUGGAGCCCCCGCGCUCCGGCUGCACUUGCGCUAGGGCGCGCCGCCUCGUAGGAGACUGUGAGCCUGCAAAACCUGAACAACCUCCUCAUCCGUGGGCGCCCGGCUCUCGCCUGCAAGUCGGCUGUUACGUGUACGGUGAUGCGAGCCAUGUAGCUUCUGGGUGUUCCAUGCGCUACAAGAAGAAAAACGACACUGCUCCAGGUGCUGUGGCAGGUCCAACCAGAGACGUCAACGUGUGUUCCAGAGCUUCAGUGUGUUACAGAUAAGUGGUUUUGGCUCCCCCUUUAUGUUCCAUUCAGGGUCAGAAUGUAGUCUUAUAAAACAAAGCCAUAGUAAUUUAUUCAAUGGUAAGCGGUUUCAUGAACAAGUCACCGUAGUCACCCUAGACACGUCCUUACGGAUCCAUCAGAUCCAAUAACUCUUGCAUUAGAUACCUUCAGCUCUAACACUAGGAGCAGGCUGAAGAACCCCAGUAAUCGUACUCGUCGAACUCGACAAAUAGGUUGAUGUGCAACCUAACCCAUGCAUCAGCCCACUGAGUUUCUCGCCGGAUCUUCUCAGUGGGUCGCGAUUCCGAUCCGGUAGUAGAUUCAUUCGCGAAGCAAUUGCUCUUGAGUUGUUAGGUCUCCUGCGGAGGCGCUCGGGCAGUUGUUAGCAAAUCCCACCCCUCUUGGCUGAGCCUUUGCUCGCCCACCCGUCCUGGUGAAGCGGGAAAGGCCUCCGGGCCACCAGUAAUCUUUCAAUCAUCUGCAGUUUUGGAAAACGAUAGGUAUAAGUUGAGACAUGUAAAUGGUUCUAGUGUACAAAGUUUCCCAUGAAAACUUACGCGAAGUACCUCGAGGCCCGUCAGGCCUACUAGAAAUUUCUGAAAAUUAUAGUGACGAUGACGUGACGGCGUACACAGAUGGGUUAAGUAAUCUUGUUCAUGAAACUGAUCUUAAUGAUGACGACUCUAUCACUGACAAUAGAAGCGACAUUUUUGUCCGCAAAUAGCGAUACAGCAAACAUAGUCUGUGGGUAGUGAUACAAUGUCUGUAAGCUCAGGCACCUCAGGUGCAGGUGUUGGAAAUGUAGAAAACGAUGGUCGGUCUCGCACUAUUUCUGAAGAAAUUCCGUAUAAAUGUUCUGGUUUAAGAGAUGUUUUAACAAACGCUAACGUACACGCAGAUCAAAAAAAAAAAAAAAAAAAGAGGAAAAAAAAAGAAAUUGUAAGUCAUUGAAGGGUGUAUCCGGUCCAAUGACUUGGCUAAAGGGAUGUUAUCCGGACUAGCAAAAAAAAAAAAAAAAGAGAAAAAAAAUGUAGGUCGUUGAAGGGUGUAUCCGGUCCAACGACUUGGCUAAAGGGAUGUUGAUCCGGACUAGCAAAGAAUAAAAAAAAAAAAAGAGAAAAAAAAAAAAAAGAGAAAAAAAAAGUGUGAAGUCAUUGAAGGGUCUGUCCGGUCCAAUGGCUUGGCUAUAGGGAUUUUCAUCCGGACUAGCCACAACAAUUAGCUACAGGGAUUGCGAUCCGGUCUAGCAUUAUCCGGUCCAGUUCGAAAAACUGAAGGGAUAACAAUUCCGAUUUAAGUUAAAAGGGACAUACUUACAUACCUGAAGAGAUUUAAAUGAACUGGCCCAGGUAUGUAAGCAGUCAGUAUUUAUAGCCAGUAUAGGAUUUUCUGAAGAAUUAUGCGAACCGAACCGUAUUAGAUUGUUAAUAUCAUAGACCACGUUUUAAGUUGCAUCCGUUAAUGUCAGGAUGAACGAAUACGCUUAUUGUCUACAGAACAACCAUAAAAAGGCGCACGAGGACGAGCGCAUGUCAGUAUGGCCGUGACGGCGUUAACAAUAUUUCUAAUAAACAUCACGUGCAACAGGCGUGACUCACACAAGCCGGGUGCGCCGGCCGUGUCGUUCCACUCGUGCAACAGAAGUGACUCAUAAGCCAGCUGCGCCGGCUAGUAUAAAAAGGCGGUGCGUGCCUUGCGAGAAACAUUCGUUGGACUGCGCUUGCCUGGUGCACUUACUAUAUCCUUGUUACGUUGUGUGAUUCAGUGACUGUUGUACGUACUGGUUAAAGUUGGACAAGUGUUAAAGUGAAUUGUUAAGAUAACAUAUUGUUGAUUAAAUCAGGAAUCAAAAA